GGUGCCGUAGCUCAGCUGGAUAGAGCACAGGAUUUCUAAUCCUGCGGUCGCAGGUUCGAAUCCUGCCGGCAUCGCCA
rnacentral:tRNA from 1 species